rnacentral:lncRNA from 1 species
CAUUCAGAUCACUGAUUAAAAUACAACAUCUGCUGUGAGUCACAGAGGGACACCGACACACACACCACAAACACACACUCACACUCACACUCACACUCACUCACUCACUCACUCACUCACUCACUCACAGACAGACAGACAGACAGACUCACUCACUCACUCACUCACUCUCUCACACACACCACAAACACACACUCACUCACUCACUCACUCUCUCACACACACCACAAACACACACUCACUCACUCACUCACUCUCUCACACACACCACAAACACACACUCACUCACUCACUCACUCUCUCACACACACCACAAACACACACUCACUCACUCACUCACUCUCUCACACACACCACAAACACACACUCACUCACUCACUCACUCUCUCACACACACCACAAACACACACUCACUCACUCACUCACUCUCUCACACACACCACAAACACACACUCACUCACUCACUCACUCUCUCACACACACCACAAACACACACUCACUCACUCACUCACUCUCUCACACACACCACAAACACACACUCACUCACUCACUCACUCUCUCACACACACCACAAACACACACUCACUCACUCACUCACUCUCUCACACACACCACAAACACACACUCACUCACUCACUCACUCUCUCACACACACCACAAACACACACUCACUCACUCACUCACUCUCUCACACACACCACAAACACACACUCACUCACUCACUCACUCUCUCACACACACCACAAACACACACUCACUCACUCACUCACUCUCUCACACACACCACAAACACACACUCACUCACUCACUCACUCUCUCACACACACCACAAACACACACUCACUCACUCACUCACUCUCUCACACACACCACAAACACACACUCACUCACUCACUCACUCACUAGACAGACAGACAGACAGACAGACUCACUCACUCACACUCACUCACUCACUCACUCCCUCACACACACCGCAAACACACACUCACUCACUCACUCACUCACUCACUCAUUUACACUCACUCACUCACUCACUCACACACACACAGCAGGACAAAAUUAAGAUUUGAAAUAAAAGGAACUAACUUUUAAUACAUUUAAAUAAAUAUUUCAAUAAUUCAAAAAAGUUUUUUCACAAAAAAUCAGUAUCCAAAUAUCUUU